UACCGAGGGUGCGAGCGUUAAUCGGAAUUACUGGGCGUAAAGCGUGCGUAGACGGCUAUCUAAGUCGGGUGUGAAAGCCCCGGGCUCAACCUGGGAAUUGCAUUCGAGACUGAAUAGCUAGGGUACGGUAGAGGGAAGCGGAAUUUCCGGUGUAGCGGUGAAAUGCGUAGAUAUCGGAAGGAACAUCAGUGGCGAAAGCGGCUUCCUGGACCAGUACCGACGUUCAGGCACGAAAGCGUGGGGAGCAAACAGG
rnacentral:rRNA from 1 species